rnacentral:rRNA from 1 species
UACGUAGGGUGCAAGCGUUAAUCGGAAUUACUGGGCGUAAAGCGUGCGCAGGCGGUUGUGCAAGACAGAUGUGAAAUCCCCGGGCUCAACCUGGGAAUUGCAUUUGUGACUGCACGGCUAGAGUGUGUCAGAGGGGGGUAGAAUUCCACGUGUAGCAGUGAAAAUGCGUAGAGAUGUGGAGGAAUACCGAUGGCGAAGGCAGCCCCCCUGGGAUAACACUGACGCUCAUGCACGAAAGCGUGGGGAGCAAACAGG